rnacentral:sRNA from 1 species
CUUGCUGCUAAAAGAUGGUCAGAAAGAG